GAUGAAGAACGUAGCGAAACGCGAUAUGUAAUGUGAAUUGCAGAAUUCAGUGAAUCAUCGAAUCUUUGAACGCACAUGGCGCCUUCCAGUAUCCUGGGAGGCAUGCCUGUCCGAGCGUCGUUUCAACCCUCGAGCCCCCGUGGCCCGGCGUUGGGGAUCUGCCACGGCAGGCCCCUAAAACCAGUGGCGGACCCGAAGGCCCUCUCCUUUGCGCAGUAGCAUCAGCCUCGCAUUGGGAUCCCUCGUCGUCCUGCCUCUAAACCCCCCACAAGUCCGCUCCGGCGGCACCAAGGUUGACCUCGGAUCAGGUAGGAAUACCCGCUGAACUUAAGCAUAUCAAUAAGCGGAGGA
rnacentral:misc_RNA from 1 species